rnacentral:rRNA from 1 species
CAUGCCCUAAUACAUGCAAGUCGAACGAACUCUGGUAUUGAUUGGUGCUUGCAUCAUGAUUUACAUUUGAGUGAGUGGCGAACUGGUGAGUAACACGUGGGAAACCUGCCCAGAAGCGGGGGAUAACACCUGGAAACAGAUGCUAAUACCGCAUAACAACUUGGACCGCAUGGUCCGAGUUUGAAAGAUGGCUUCGGCUAUCACUUUUGGAUGGUCCCGCGGCGUAUUAGCUAGAUGGUGGGGUAACGGCUCACCAUGGCAAUGAUACGUAGCCGACCUGAGAGGGUAAUCGGCCACAUUGGGACUGAGACACGGCCCAAACUCCUACGGGAGGCAGCAGUAGGGAAUCUUCCACAAUGGACGAAAGUCUGAUGGAGCAACGCCGCGUGAGUGAAGAAGGGUUUCGGCUCGUAAAACUCUGUUGUUAAAGAAGAACAUAUCUGAGAGUAACUGUUCAGGUAUUGACGGUAUUUAACCAGAAAGCCACGGCUAACUACGUGCCAGCAGCCGCGGUAAUACGUAGGUGGCAAGCGUUGUCCGGAUUUAUUGGGCGUAAAGCGAGCGCAGGCGGUUUUUUAAGUCUGAUGUGAAAGCCUUCGGCUCAACCGAAGAAGUGCAUCGGAAACUGGGAAACUUGAGUGCAGAAGAGGACAGUGGAACUCCAUGUGUAGCGGUGAAAUGCGUAGAUAUAUGGAAGAACACCAGUGGCGAAGGCGGCUGUCUGGUCUGUAACUGACGCUGAGGCUCGAAAGUAUGGGUAGCAAACAGGAUUAGAUACCCUGGUAGUCCAUACCGUAAACGAUGAAUGCUAAGUGUUGGAGGGUUUCCGCCCUUCAGUGCUGCAGCUAACGCAUUAAGCAUUCCGCCUGGGGAGUACGGCCGCAAGGCUGAAACUCAAAGGAAUUGACGGGGGCCCGCACAAGCGGUGGAGCAUGUGGUUUAAUUCGAAGCUACGCGAAGAACCUUACCAGGUCUUGACAUACUAUGCAAAUCUAAGAGAUUAGACGUUCCCUUCGGGGACAUGGAUACAGGUGGUGCAUGGUUGUCGUCAGCUCGUGUCGUGAGAUGUUGGGUUAAGUCCCGCAACGAGCGCAACCCUUAUUAUCAGUUGCCAGCAUUAAGUUGGGCACUCUGGUGAGACUGCCGGUGACAAACCGGAGGAAGGUGGGGAUGACGUCAAAUCAUCAUGCCCCUUAUGACCUGGGCUACACACGUGCUACAAUGGAUGGUACAACGAGUUGCGAACUCGCGAGAGUAAGCUAAUCUCUUAAAGCCAUUCUCAGUUCGGAUUGUAGGCUGCAACUCGCCUACAUGAAGUCGGAAUCGCUAGUAAUCGCGGAUCAGCAUGCCGCGGUGAAUACGUUCCCGGGCCUUGUACACACCGCCCGUCACACCAUGAGAGUUUGUAACACCCAAAGUCGGUGGGGUAACCUUUUAGGAACCAGCCGCCUAAGGUGACAGGAAUUGG